CCGCGACGGGUGGAAGUAACACGUAUCCAACCUGCCGUCUACUCUUGGACAGCCCUCUGAAAGGAAGAUUAAUACAAGAUGGCAUCAUGAGUCCGCAUGUUCACAUGAUUAAAGGUAUUCCGGUAGACGAUGGGGAUGCGUUCCAUUAGAUAGUAGGCGGGGUAACGGCCCACCUAGUCUUCGAUGGAUAGGGGUUCUGAGAGGAAGGUCCCCCACAUUGGAACUGAGACACGGUCCAA
rnacentral:rRNA from 1 species